rnacentral:ncRNA from 1 species
ACGAUGAAGAGUUUGAUCCUGGCUCAGGAUGAACGCUAGCGGCAGGCUUAACACAUGCAAGUCGAGGGGUAUAGUUCUUCGGGACUAGAGACCGGCGCACGGGUGCGUAACGCGUAUGCAAUCUACCUUUUACAGAGGGAUAGCCCAGAGAAAUUUGGAUUAAUACCUCAUAGUAUAGUACAAUCGCAUGAUUGAACUAUUAAAGUCACAACGGUAAAAGAUGAGCAUGCGUCCCAUUAGCUAGUUGGUAAGGUAACGGCUUACCAAGGCUACGAUGGGUAGGGGUCCUGAGAGGGAGAUCCCCCACACUGGUACUGAGACACGG